rnacentral:rRNA from 1 species
CACGCCGUAAACGAUGAAUGCUAGGUGUCGGGGGUCAAACCUCGGUGCCGAAGUUAACACAUUAAGCAUUCCACCUGGGGAGUACGAUCGCAAGAUUGAAACUCAAAGGAAUUGACGGGGGCCCGCACAAGCGGUGGAGCAUGUGGUUUAAUUCGAAGCAACGCGAAGAACCUUACCAAAUCUUGACAUCCUUCUGAUUACACUUUAAUAGGUGUUUUCCUUCGGGACAGAAGUGACAGGUGG